rnacentral:lncRNA from 1 species
CCUCCGCUUCCCCCAAGGUUGGCGCCCGGGAGCCGUGCUCUGGGACCACACUCCUCUUUGGCUCUGGGAAUUUCUCCUCCCACGUGGAGGCCCCCACAGCAGUGGACACCACCCAGCCAGGCCCACCUGACCGGUCAGGCUCAAACCCUCUGGUACCCGCCCCACCCAUAGGACCAGGUGUAAACCAGGCAGCGACACCCCAGACGUGUGGUCUUGGUCAGCUCCCCUGGGCUCCUCUCCCUCCAGCUGGCCCUUCUCUGCCCAGGAAACAGUUUUCUGAAGAGUUCUCCGUUCUCGAGCCUUCCAGCUGCGUGGGAGAGAGUUGACCCCAAGGCUGGGACCACAAGAGGCCAGGGAGGGUGGGCCUGGGAUCUGCAGCUCACGGGCUGUGUGACUGUGGGCACGAGAUUUCAUUUCCUGAUUCAUAAAGGUGGGGACCGAUCAAAGCUACUCCUUGGACCUUUGUGAAGAUUAAAUGAGUUCAACACGGAGCAUUCUUGACCCAUGGGCCAUCCCCAGAUGAGGCUGCAGCAUUGCCCCGUGUGCUCUCAGCUGGUGCCAGUGUUGUCUGGAACUGUCUGGACCUACCUGGAAACUGAGUACCUACAGGGUUUUGUCACUUACAGUGAUUGCCAUGGUCUGAAUGCUUGUGUCCUCCUCGAAAGGAUGCAUUGCUGGGAUGGAUGAACAGGGCCAUGCGAUAAAUCCUCUAACGUUGCCACGUCUGUGCUUUUGCCUCCUUUCCUCUCCGUUGUAUGGAGGAAGUUCUGACAGCUCACUUCAUUUCACGUGGUGUGCAAGCUUCUGUCAAACAACGGAACAAACUAUGAGAACCACUUCCAGCCACUGCUUCUGCACACUUCUCUGCUAAGUGAGUCUCUGCUGUGUGAGUCUCAUUGGUAAAACUACCCUGAUCUAACAUUCUGUUACCUCCUUUGUGGUCCAACACUCCAAGAGUCCACGGCCUCAGACGCCCCUGGGUUUCUGCUGAUGUAAAUUGGCAAAAACUUGCAUUCAGUGUGUAUGUGGCUCCUCUUGGGUCUCACUGUGUGUUUAUCCCUCUGCACCCAACUCUAGUCAUGGCUCUGGGAAUAAUGAGGGUCGGUGGAGGUGGAUCUCAAGGGAGAUCUGUCAUCUUGCAAGGCUGUUUCCUCAAGUGAAGCCAUCACAGAUCUUUGGGCACAGUUUUACUCACCUCAGACUCUAAGGAAGAGUCACUUCUGCUUACAGGGAGACUCAGGAAGGUCUAAUGUUCAGGGGACUCAGAGUCAGAGAAAUCCACCCUCUCCAGUUCUCGAGGUCUCAUUCUUUCCAAAUAAAUGCCUUAACUUUGACUUAAGAGAUUUAGUAAGACAUUUAAUUAUUCUUUAGUUGUAAUUCAUUAGCCUGCAAGAUCAAAUUUGUACUCUGCAUUUAAAAAAAAAAGUUGACUCUACAGCUACAAGAACUAAAAUGGUUUUUUUAGGACAGCUAUAGAAGGGCUCUGGUUCUCUGUCUAUACCUUCAGCUGAGCACUUAAGGCCACAGCUUGUCAUUUUCUUUGUCAGUUCCCCAGUGCAAUAAGCAGCAGCCACCCCAUGCCACAUCCUUGUAUGCAUGGUUUCCAUCCACAUCCUAAUGUCCUAUUGCAAGAGCCCCCUGGUGUCUGAAACCCAGGCUUGUGAUGGGCACUGCAUCGCAGAGACCUCAAGGUAAUGAUUUUACCAGUGACAAUGUUUAUAGAUUAUCUGCAUCCUGCUUCCCACUCCUCACGUGGUCCUCACUGACAUCAGACAAAACCUGGUCUGUCCAAUUACUAACUCCAGAUUCCCAUCUUCAAGGUUCUGCCUUCCUGGAAACACUGCUGGUACCAGGAAUGGUUGGUCGGGAACACUAAAGUCACUCUAGGUAUUUUGGGUAGAAGGAGAUUCAUUGCAGGGAACUCUAGGCUUACAGAAAUGUUGAGAACUUUGGGGACUGAAGGUUAUUUCAGGAGAUCUGGAAGUGCAGGGAUAGAAGGGUAGCAUCCAUUGCCCCCUGAUAACUGUACCACUGACAUGGCUAGAAACCACCCCAGUGAUCCCAGCUGCUUGUAGCACCUCAGGGUGAUUCUCAAACUGACUCCAGAAGCCAAGGUACACUGCUGCCAAUGACUGCAGGGGCCUCUGCAAAACGGACGUUGAUGAAUGAAACAAAGUGUGAUCUACCCAUAGCAGGGAAUGUUAUUCAUCCUUAAAAAGGAAGGAAAUCCUGCAGCUCACGCCUGUCAUCCCAGCUCUUUGGGAAGCUGAGGCAGGAGAAUGGCUUGAGGCCAGGAGUUUGAGACCAGCCUGGGCAACAUAAUGAGACCCCCGUCUCUACAAAAAACAAUUUAAAAAAUUUGCUGUAGUCCCCGCUACCCAGGAGACUGAAGCAGGAGGAUAGCUUGAGCCCAGGAAGUUGAGGCUGCAGUGAGCUAUGAUCUCUCCUGUCUCUAAAAAAGAAAAAAAAUAAAAGGAAAGAAAUUAAUUCUCACACAGGCUACAAAAUGGAUGAACCUUGAGGACAUUAUGCUGAAUCAAAGAAGCCAUUCAGCAAAGGAUAAAUCCUAUAAGCUUCCCCGUAUAUGAGGAACCCAGAGCAGUGAAAUCCCCAGUGACAGGAAGUGGAUGGUGGGCACCAGGGGCUGGCAGAGAGGAUGGGAGUCAGUCUUCCAUGGGGACAGGGACAGCUUCAGUUUGGGAAGCUGAAGAAGUUCUGGAGAUGAUGAUGGUGGUGACAAGUGCACACCAACGUGAAUGUAUCAGGGACAGCUUCAGUUUGGGAACUUGAAGAAGUUCUGGAGAUGACGAUGGUGGUGACAGGUGCAUACCAACGUGAAUGUAUCAGGGACAGCUUCGGUUUGGGAAGCUGAAGAAGUUCUGGAGAUGAUGAUGGUGGUGACAGGUGCACACCAAUGUGAAUGUAUCAGGGACAGCUUCGGUUUGGGAAGCUGAAGAAGUUCUGGAGAUGAUGAUGGUGGUGACAGGUGCACACCAACGUGACUGUAUCAGGGACAGCUUCAGUUUGGGAAGUUGAAGAAGUUCUGGAGAUAAUGAUGGUGGUGACAGGUGCACACCAACAUGAAUGUAUCAGGGACAGCUUUGGUUUGGGAAGCUGAAGAAGUUCUGGAGAUGAUGAUGGUGGUGACAGGUGCACACCAACGUGAAUGUAUCAGGGACAGCUUCGGUUUGGGAAGCUGAAGAAGUUCUGGAGAUGAUGAUGGUGGUGACAGGUGCACAGCAAUGUGAAUGUAUCUAAUGGCACUAAACUGUGCACUUUAAAACUGCAUGCAUUUACAAUGGUAAAUUUUAUGUUAUGCGCAUUCCACUGUAGUGAAAAAGAGUUAACUUCACCUGAAAUGAAUUCGUGUGGUAACCAUUGG